GGGGUUGUGGCUCAGUGGUAGAGUGCUUGCCUAGCAUGUAUGAGACACUGGGUUCCAUUCUCAGCACCA
rnacentral:tRNA from 1 species